rnacentral:lncRNA from 1 species
GUGAGAUCUGGGACCCGGCGGGGACGGGGAGGCGGGGCCCAGGUGGGAGGGGCGAGAUCUGGGACCGGGAGGGAGCGGGACUGAGGAGCGGGUUGGCGGGGCCGGGACUGGGACCCGGGCAGGGGCAGGCUGGGAUCUGGGCCCGGGUCGCAGCCAGGGCGGGGGCGUUGGUGGGAGCGGCAGUGGCUGGGACCUGGGCGGGGGCGGGGCGCCGAGGGCGGGGCUGGGGCUGGGCCCCGGGCGGAGCCGAGGGCGGGGGGAGGUGGGCGGAGCGGGGCUGGGAAGCGGCGCGGCCGAGGGGCUGCAGGAAAGUUGCGGGGAUCGGAGCGGCAGCAGCCGCGGAGCCGCGGGAGUGGGGACCGCCCCGCGGGGGCAGAGCGGGCGGCGCGCACCGGGGCGGCAGGGAGCGCCCCAGACCCGUCUCCCGGGGAUGUGUGGGGCCCCGAGCCUGGUGCGGGCGCGCGGCCGGGCACAGCUGGGCUUGAAGCACUUUGGUAGAACACCUGGACACUCUGCCAACUGA